rnacentral:tRNA from 2 species
AGGCGCUUAGCUCAGUUGGUUAGAGCACCACCUUGACAUGGUGGGGGUCGUUGGUUCGAAUCCAAUAGCGCCUA